rnacentral:lncRNA from 1 species
GGAAGAACAUCAUACACACACAUUAGCUUAUCAAUAUGGCAUGGCACACGAAGAGCAAUAAGGUGUUGAUAUGCUUGUGGCUUGUGAUGAUGCUUCUCUUGUCAUCCGGUAGAAAAUACAAUCAACCCACACAUGAUCUUUAGAACAGAGUGAAGCGUGUUAAUUUUAGCUGAUUUUUCUUGUUUGCUAUUGUAAGCAGAAGAGAUUGGAUCAGAUGCAUGCGACAAACAGGUUAGCAAGACAUGGCCGAAAUACUUACCAUGUGUUGUGAACGGCAAAUGCAACGACCCUUGCAAGAACGAGGGGUUCGACAGCGGCCGGUGCACGAAAUUUACUACAUGCUUAUGCUAUAGGAACUGCACCGGUGUACGGCGAUUGCUGUAGCGAUAUAUAUUUAUUGAAUAAAUAAAUCAAGAAGCUCCUUAGACAGAUUUGUAUGCUUUUAUUUUUAAGAAAAGAACUAAAGAAACACGACACCGGUUGAAAAGGCAGGACUCCAAGCGGUCGGCUCCAACUUAUCUUAUUGGUUUUCCUACUGCCUCGUAUUCACGCAUGCAUGACCAGGGCUUCAAACAUACAGUGGAUCUCCUAUUUUAUUUUUAACCAAGAACUAGUAAAAUGCCGUGCGCUACUACGGGAGCGUGAAUAUUUUAGUAGGUCGCUCCUAUUAAAAUAGGUUGUUACGAGUAACGUGUGAAAUUUUUAACAUGAGGAGGUGU